rnacentral:tRNA from 1 species
GCGCCCGUAGCUCAGUGGAUAGAGCGCCGGACUUCGAAUCCGUAGGCCGCAGGUUCAAGUCCUGCCGGGCGUGCCA